AUGGCUGUGGGACAAGGGGCAAGACACAAGCAGACAAAUAAGACCAACUCAGCACACUUGAUUAGGCUGUGGUUUAAUAAAACAAAGCAACCACAACUAACCUGCACCAAACCUCUGAGAGACAGCAAAGUCCAUAAACUGUGAACCUUGCCAUUGUCAAAGGAUGUGGAAUUGUGGGAAAUACAAAAUACAUUGCUUACAAUUCUCUGACUGAUGAAGGACAUGCACUCAGAUGUCUUCAGAAUCAGAGAAUUAUGGAUGGUUGGAACUUGGGGGGGCCCUUGGAUUGUAUCUAUUUCAGCUUCCUCAUUUUUAAAGCUUGAUAAUCUGGGGGUUGGAAAGGGGAAAAUAGUUUGCCUAAGGUAAGAGUUCAAAUUACUGAUAGAGCUUAUAGCUGUGACUUCUAACCUAAAUAUUUUUCUUCUCUUGUGUUUCCAUAUGCGCUAAAAGUUUCACAUAGUUGUGUCCACUUUAGGAAACCCGGAAUUCAUUUAUUGCAUAUGAUGAAGUCAAGGUUGCUAAGUGAUAUACCAAGGAUACUCAAUUUUGUCCCUUUCCAGAAGGAACUACUAAGAUUAUGGUGAGCUGUAGGUUUCAGAUGUAUAUAAAACAAUAUAACAAUAUUAGGCCUUUCAUCUAGACUACAGUUUAUCAGCAGUUUCCUUUCUAGGAAUCAGUCAUAGCUAUAGGCCCUACAGGGACUCUUCUGCAGUGCCUUCACCUCCAGAUAUAUCCAAAGUUGUUUCUAGUGCAUCCUUAAAUUGCAGUGACUCAUAGCAACAAUUGUUUACUGAGCCCUCCUGACUGGCCAUGGGAUGACAGUAGUUAACAACAGGUCAGACAUGGUCUCUGUUGUCAUGGAGCUUAUGCCAAAGUGGCGAAUGACAGUCACUAAGCAUGUCUAUUACAAGUAUAAUUAAUUUAACAAGGAAGACAAAUUAGUCCUUCAUGUGUUCCAGAAGGCAAGGCCCCUAGUGUGGUUGGUCUGGUGGAGCUGAACUGCAAAACUGUGUGGAGAUGCUUAUGUGCUAGACACCAAUUGUUUUAUCCCUCCAGUAUAUCCCCUUUUUUCCUCUUAAGUCCGUGAUUUCUGAAGGAGUUGCUGUGUCUUACAUCAGUGCUUUUCAAACUACUUAAAAAUUUAAAUUUCUAAUCUGUCACAAAUUGACAUCCUGACAAAAUACAAAAUCACCUGCUUGAGUGUCACAGGCAUGUCAAAUUGUUAUAAAUGUUUAGAAAUAUUUAUUCUUGAUUUCGGUACCAGAACUCUUCAGGUGGGUAACACAUAGUUUGUGGGCCAGCUUGGUACACAGGCCCUACUUUGAGUAGUAAUAUUGACCUUGAUCUCUCAGGCCCAGACUUUACACCUGGUGCCCUUGACCAUGGCAAAUUAAUCCAGCAUGGGCAUCUGAGUCAAACUGGGCAGAUGAGACCCUUAUACAGAAUGUUUGUGCUGGACACAGAGAGCAUCAGGCCAGUCUCUCUCCAGGGGCUGAAAGUGUAAGAUGCUGUCCUUGGGAGUCCGUGGUUUCCUUCAGGUGGUGAGCUGCUGUAUAAUGGCAAGCAGAUGAAACCCAACAGUGAGGUAGAGAGCCCUGACAGUGUUUGAGCUCCUGACUCCAGCUUUUCCUAUGGUCCACAUACAUUCCUUCCUUAGGUUUCAGGUGCUAUCCCAGCACCAUUGUUAUUAUUAUUAUUUUUAAAUCCCUACCUGUUUGAACUAAUUCAGGUUGGGGUUCUGUUACUUGAAAUCAAGUGGUUCUAACUUAUGGAAGAUGGUUUCAUCAGUGUCUAGACAUGCUAACCUUUAAAGUCUUAUUGUUUUUGGAGAGUUUCCACCCCUCCAGGUUCGAAGCCAUUACCAGAGUGCUGCUGAAGCCCCUUGCAGAUGUGAGGGGACCUCUCAUGCCAAGUCUUAUGGCUGCAAAGACAUCGCAUUCCACAGUGUGGUGUCAGAGAAGAGCAGUCCUGGGAGAGAACUCUCUCCAGUCACCUUGGGAAGAUUUCCCUCUCCUACAACAGCUAACAUCAGUGGAGCUGCCAGCAUAUUCACUCUAAGGACACAACAAAAGGCACUAUCUUUGAAGAGCGUGAACCCUUACCAGAUGGAAUCUGCUGACACCUUGAUCUUGGACUUCCCAGCCUCCAGAACUGUGAGAAUAAAUUUCUGUUGUUUAUACAUUACCCAACCUAAGAUAAUCUUCUUAUAGCAGCAGGAACCAUCUAAGACAUCCUCUAAGGUGAGAUGCAACUACAACUCUGAUGAUGUGUCUCCCCACCAUGAAAUGAUGCUGCACCACUGACUAGGCCAUCCUAGGGCAUGAUGCUUUGUGGUAGCUGCCUCUGCCAUCUAAAUGGGGACCACUACAGCCACAAGCUGAGCAGGCAUUCUGGUUCCUAGCUUUUCUCAUUGAGAAAUCAGGGCAAGCAGCCUCAUUUACCUAAGUUGCAGGUUCUCUUGAGCUGUGUAGGCCCAUUCUCAGCUCCCUGUGGUGUCUUCUUCAUAUGUACAAUAACGUGUAAACAUUUAGAUGUUUGUCUACAUAUUUGAAGAGGCAUGCUGAUGCUGAAAUAUUUUUCUCUUUUGAAGAGAGGGAAAGCAGCUUGACUGAAAACCAAUAGACUCCCCAACUUUAUAACUAACUUAUAAUCACUUCACCUUCUAGGGCUGGUUUCCUCUACCAGAAAAUGGGGAAAGACAAACUGGUUUCGCAACCAGUGAAACCAUUCAGCCAAUAGCGAGAAAUAAACAGACAAGCUCCUUUAAAAAUGAUACUUAUGAGAAGUCUCAUUUUUUUCCCUUAUGGAUUUUUGAUUUAGAUUUUGUGAAGGUUUUGUGAAACUGUUCUCUGGUUAAAUGUGGUUUGGUUUAAAACUUCAUUCCUGUGUCUGUAAAUAUGAUUUAUAGGUUGAUAGGAAACUCUGUAACUCUCCAGUGGCUGUUGUUUUUACACACUGAAGCAGAAAGGGGAAAAUGUAGAUAGUCAUAUAAAAAAAAA
rnacentral:lncRNA from 1 species